GCCCAUAUAGCUCAGGGGCAGAGCACUUCCUUGGUAAGGAAGAGGUCGGCGGUUCAAAUCCGCUUAUGGGCUCCA
rnacentral:tRNA from 3 species